CGUUCUGCCCCGCGGGAGGGGCGGCGGGAGCAUUGCGGGCUGCCUCCCCCGCCGGGUUGCCGGGACCCCCGGGAACGCCGCAGGAAACUUUUGUGUCGGGGCGAGUGGGGCCCGUCCCGCGGCGGGGGGGCGGUCUGACGGGCGGCGCCGCCGUGGCGGGUCCGGCCGCAAAGUCGCGGUGUGAGGGCCUCUGCAUAGUCAGCGCUGUGUCCGCCGCCCGAGCGCGGUGUUUCCCUGCAGAAGUUGCCGCUCGGGCAGGGCGAGGGCGGAGCCGAGCGGCCGGCGGAGGCCUGCGGCGGUGGGAAGACGGGGCCGUGGCUCGGGGCGGCCGGUGCUGGGGGCGACCGCCCCCGCUAGGCCCCUUCUGCCAGCUGCAGAGGCUGCCAGGAGGGUCAGCGGGGAACAGCUCUUCUGCCCCCUGCCACGUCUUCCGUUUAAAAUGAAUAGCUGUGGUUUCAAACAAAUAAAUUAUUUUUCCCACCGAAACGCGGCUACCCUUCGGUGAUAACUUGGAAAGGCUCAUCUAUCCCAGCAGCCUCGCUGAGCCAUCGCUGUGCAACUUUAAAUAGGCACUAAAGAAAAUGACAUGUUUACUUUGCCAAAGUUAUACUUUACUUUUUUUUUUUUUUGUUAGGAGAGUAGAGAUCACAGGAAGGAGGAUAAUUUUCCUUAGGUCUUGUAAAUUGUUCCUUGUGCAAGAUUAUGUUUCUGAAGCUUUGAGUUGAGGAUCGCUAAGUGGAGUAACUGCUGCAAGAGUAUGCGUUUUGUGUUGAGAGGCAUGUCUCUCAACACAUCUCGUACCAGUUCUGGUUCAGUUCAGGAUUGUGUGACUCUUAUGAUGGCUGAUGAAAUUUAGUGGAUAAAGUUUGCAUUGUUUACAUGUGCAGAGAAGGAAGGGAGUUGUCACACUGUGAAUUUCAGUGCAUAUUGCACCUUCCUGUUCUGUGUAUGUGCUGUCAGUUCAGCCAGCAGUUAAAUACAUGGAAGAGUUGGAGGGAUGCUCUGGUGCUUAAAGAAGUAGCCCGGUACUCGCAAGAGCUGAGUGCAACUUCCAAUUCUCCAUGGUGUUCGCUGUGACUUGUGUGUCUGUGCUUUUAGUCCCGGUUGACAGAUGGCGAACGGUUUUUCCCUCCCUUUGUGUACUUAGAUCUCAGAGUGAUGGUGGUAUUACACUUAAGUUCCUACCAUUGAUGUGGGGUUCUUGGCUAUCAUCUUUGCUCAUUUUUGUCUGCAUAGGCUUCCCUCCCUGUGUUUGUUCCACCCCUCGUGAUACAAGAGCUAGUAUUCUCUUCUUUGCAAGCAAAACACUGUUCUGGCAUUUUUUAAUACCAUAUCUGUUUCCUGCCAUUACCGCUUCCCUCUCUCCAGACUGUGCUUAGUCUUCAGCUCUUCCUUUCCUGCAUAUCCUGACUGUACACCCUACAUGUUUACUUGUGAGCGCUAUUGAUUUACUUAAUCCUAGAAAGUAAAUGCAGAUUCUAGUUCUUGGGGUCUGGAAAAUAGUCUGUUGUUUAGAAAAUGGUGAUUCAAUGCUUGUUGCUUCUCUUUGUGUCUUGCUUAGGCUAGCACUAAAUCAAGGGCAGCACCCCUGGGAGUCCAACCCUGAAGAAGUCAUUGGGAGUUGUCACUCUUCUGCUGAGAAUGGGGAAGGGAAAUGCACUUGUGGCUUUUCAAUAGCUUGUUUGCUAUUAGUGCAGGCAUUGACCAAGAGGGAACAAGUGAUCUGGAAAGGUAGUGGGUGGGAUAUAUCUGUACUCCAAAGUCUUUUUUUUUUUUUUUUUUUCCCCUUCUGUUCUGCAGUUUCAUUCCCUUUAUGGGAAGACUGGUUAUGGGUUUGGUUUUUUUUGUGAUGGGCUUUCUAAUACAGUGUUCAGUACACCUCGUCGAUAACUUUGAAAGUGUGAUUCCAUGCAUGUCAUGUUACACACUCUUUCAACUCGUGUGUAAAAACACCCAUUCUGCUUGCUGAACUGGUUUUAGUUCUGUACUUAGUUGCACGUUGUGGGGGUUUUCUUCCUCUUUUUGUUGCAAAAGCAAACCUCUCUGACACCUUAGCAGAAGCAAGGAAGGAGCUGUUGGUUUUUCACCUGUAACUGUUUUGUGUAUUGCCUUUUUUUCCCCACCCACCCCCUUCUUGCCAGGGUUCUCCAGUGCUCCAGGCAGCAAGUUUUGAAGCAGGAUGGGAAAAAGACGCUGUGUUCCUCCACUUGAGCCCAAGCUGGCAGCUGGCUGUUGUGGAGUAAAGAAGCCCAAAUUGUCUGGGAGUGGAACGCACAGUCAUGGGAAUCAGGCCACAACUGUACCAGGCUCCAGUUCAGGUCCUCUUCAGAACCACCAGCAUACAGAUGGGAAUAAUGGAAGGGAGAACGUAUCUGACUUGACUUUGGGCCCAGGAAAUUCUCCAAUUACUCGAAUGAAUCCCACUUCAGGAGCUCUGAGCCCACUUACUCGGCCCAAUGGAACUGCCAACAGCACCAAGAACCUGGUGGUGACAGCGGAGAUGUGCUGCUACUGCUUUGAUGUACUCUACUGUCAUCUCUAUGGUUUCCCUCAGCCACGACUUCCUCGAUUUACCAAUGACCCCUAUCCACUCUUUGUGACGUGGAAGACGGGGCGAGACAAGCGGCUUCGUGGCUGCAUUGGGACCUUUUCAGCCAUGAAUCUUCACUCAGGACUCAGGGAAUACACAUUAACCAGUGCACUUAAGGACAGUCGAUUUCCCCCCCUGACCCGCGAGGAGCUGCCCAAACUCUUCUGCUCUGUCUCCCUCCUCACUAACUUUGAGGAUGCCAGUGACUACCUGGACUGGGAGGUUGGGAUCCAUGGGAUCAGAAUAGAGUUCAUCAAUGAGAAAGGUGUCAAACGCACAGCCACGUAUUUACCUGAGGUUGCUAAGGAACAAGAGUGGAGUGGUCGCAUCCUCCUGGCUCUGGGGCAAAAGACUAAGACUGGGAUCAGAUCCAGACCAUAGACUCCUUACUCAGGAAAGGUGGCUUUAAGGCUCCAAUUACCAAUGAUUUUAGGAAAACAAUUAAACUCACCAGGUACCGCAGUGAGAAGGUGACAAUCAGUUAUGCAGAAUACAUGGCUUCCCGUCAGCAUUGUUUCCAGAAUGGCACUCUUCAUGCCCCCCCCCUCUACAAUCAUUACUCCUGACACACGGCUGCAUGACCAGUCCCACUCCCCAGUUGCUGCCAACAGCUACGACAUCAUUGGGGCAGAUGCCUCCUCUUCCUGGUCCAGUUACUUCUAUUACUGCACCAUUUUAUGAUGCUAGCUUCCGUUGCCAAGUCUGCCUUCCAGCUGACCUGGGGGGAAGAUGAGAGCAUGACAGGACUUCAGGGGCCCAAGCCUUAUCUCAGCCUUCCCUCCAACCGGGGGUUCAGUUGGAUUGGGGCUCCAUGCCUAUGAACUGUCGUGAGGUGCAGAAGACCUCUAGGAGUGGAAGUGCCACUUCGGACUGAUCCGUUCUUGUGUGUUACCGACACUCCAGAAACUUGAGUUGUUUGUUAUGGAAGCCCCCCAGAUCAAGUAGGAGCAUUCCCCUGGCAGCCUGGGCAACGGAGUCCAACAAAACAUUUUUUAGGUUCUUUUUAAUUUUUUUUAACCUCUGGUAUCUGUUGUGUACCGAGAGCUGAUUGUGGUCCCCACACAUCACAGGCGGACAUUAUGAUAUUGGGGAGGGUUGAACAUCUGGAUAGCACCCCAUCCUCAUGGACAGAAAACAAAGAUGUGAAAAACCUUUGGAUGGUAUUGCAGAUGAAUCCAUUAUUUAAAUACACCCUAGAAGGCUUUAAUUACCAGAUCCUACUGUAGGUUGGAUUCUUCAGAAAUCCUCUUGGUUUACAGUUUUUUGAGGCUUUUAGACAGUGCUUUAUAAUGUAGCCUGCUAUGAAAUAGAGUGCUGUUAUGCCUGUAAGAGAGCAACAUGGUGCAUGCUGUGUAUGCGAAGGACAAGGUACUUGAGUGUCCCUGGAUGGUUUUCUUUGUUACAACCAAGUUUUGUGUCCAAACAUUUGUAACAGAGCCUGCUUGGAUUAGGGAUGGGGAAGGAUUUGCAGGGCAUUGACCUGUAGUCAUACAAGUGAGAUAGUGACUGAAAUUUGUUUAACUUAAGCUAACAGUCUCGGGGACCUUCCUUUUGAUAGGACAGCCACUUUCUCUGGUGUGACUAUUGAUCUUGAGAACUGUGAGUAUUCCAGUUUACAGCAGGCCUAUGGAAUAGAGCUAUGUAGUUUCACUGGUAAGUUAUCUUACACAGUUUAGUCAUUACCACAUCAAGGCAAUGAGUGGGGAAACCUUUGUUACCCAAACUGUGUGAAACUCACGUGCAUUCUGUAUUUCUUCUCCCGUCAUUGAUGAUUACAAGAAAUACUCUCAUCUAAGAGGAAGAUGAGUUAUCCAGUUGUUAUUCUGCAGCAUCACUGAGGGAUGUCAUAAACUGUAAUUAUGACACACUCUCAAUCAAAACAUAAUUUGGGGUUUGGUUUGGUUUGUUUUCCAAGUUUCUGGAGGCUCAACAAUGAUCAGGAAAGAAAAUACAAGUGCAUAGCAAAGUAACUGCUAUUUGGUUGCAUAUAUCUUUAAAGUUUACUUGUGUGUGGUAAUGAUGGCUUUUAAAAUUGACUGGUGUUUCAAGCCUGAAAUUCUCUCCUGGCAUGGCAGGGAACAGGGCUGGUAGAAAGCUCAGAACUGCAUGCUGCUGGUCCUUCUGGUCCUAGAGAAGCAAACAGAUCUGUGUAGUUUUGCUUCAUGUUGGUGUAACGUUCUGCUGGAGGAGAGAGACAUGAGGGAAAGGAGGGGGUCCUAUUCUGGAUAUCGGUGCAAUAUCGACCCAGCUUUCCUCCUGUACUGGGUCAUCCUUAUAAAUUGCCACUUUUCCCUUGUGAUGUUGUUGAAAAGCAAUUGAAGAUUAAGGGAUUGUUUCAUGAUUUCCUGCUGCUGAGAAUAAAUCGGUCUUGUUACAAACUCGAGUGGUUUGUAAUUACUCUCCCAGGUGCCGUGUAGUGAUGGGGGAGGGGAGGGUCAGCUCCGUACAUACCAUUCACCUUUCAGCUGUCAAACAGUAUGAUACAUAGGGCUACACUCAUUACUGUUCAAGUGUUCUAUGUUAGAAUUUAAUUUCUAAAAGGUUUUAAAAAGGCAAAAAAUGGUGCUAAAACUUCACCCCUGAGCACGCUCAGUGAGACUGGUCAUGCAGGCAUAUAGUGCCAGGCUUUUCAACAAUAUUGUUUUUUUCAAAUGUUUGCCCUGUUCUGUGUCUUCAACAGUGUAUAGUGUUUUCCUGAUUUCAUUUUAUUUGAAUAGGGGAUGACUAAGGGGUGGGGUGGGGAGGGUUAGCUGUCAUUUUUAAAGAACAGAAUUUUAGGAUUGAGUGACUUGGUUGGUUGAAGGCUGAAGUGGGCUAGAUGGUUUGGAACUGGGGAAGCCUUAUUCCCUCCCACUUCCAUUUUCCCACUCAGUCUGUUUAAAAAAAAAAAAAGCCUCUAAAUAUGUACUGUGUUCUUGUCUUGUUGCAGUGAGAAGAGAAGCUAGCAAAUCAGAAACGCUGGUCUGCUGCCUAAGAAACAGGCCCACUCAGCUUUAGUCCCAUAAGGGUUCAGCUAUAAAAUCAUUUGAAAAGUGUGUCAAUAGUUAAGUUAGCUCAGAAAAAAAUGUAUGACAAGGACAGGUGGUCUCAGGAAAUAAUCCCAUUUCUAGAUCAUUACAUGGCAGCUAUGCAUAAGGAUGAAAGAGGUGAACUAGAAACAAAAUGUAUUUUGAGUUGCCUCAACAUGGAGGCAACCAAAAUCAAUGACCAAUUGAUACAAGAGUUUCUCUGUGGCUACUUGGCUGGGACAGCAGAUUAGAACUACUUCUCAAAGCAACUGUUACCUGGUUUGAUCUGGAUUUAACUCAUCCUUAGAAGCAAGUGCCUUUUGGUCUAGAAGGGCUUAUUCUCAUGACAACCACAACUGAGAAAAUAUCUCACUGCAAUUUGGAAUUGUCUUUGUUUUACAGUAACUACAGGAGAAUGUCUUUGAUCACUGGAGUCUGUCAGUGUUGGAAUGCUUCCACUGUGAGGUUCUUAAUUUUUUUUCCAUAAUGUUCAACAGUCAAUCUCAACUGAGGCCAAUUCAGUUUGGGAACAUUUUAUGGUCAAAAUAUCACAUAUCUACAAUUUAUCAGAACAAAAAAAAAAAAAAAAAAAAGAAAAACUAUGACUUCAUUUUAACCUUUGCAUAGAAUAAUUUGUUUUCAUAGUACGUUAACAUCUGCAAUCUUCACUGACUAUUAGUGCUGUUUUCUGUUUGUAUUCUGGAAACUACAUGUUGUUUUGUUGGGGGUUUUUUUUGGUUAAUUUAUUUCCUUAAAGCAGGAGACCUCUUCUGACCUUCAGUGCAGAGAUGUCAGACCAAUUCUUUGUAUUACACUUGGUUGCCUCCUACCUAUAUAAUAACUUCUGAGUGUAAAUAAUUGAACUCUCCUCUAAUGAAGUAUUGUAGAGAAUAAAUCAUAAUGGAUAAAGAUUA